GACGAACGCUGGCGGCAGGCCUAACACAUGCAAGUCGAACGAGUGGCGGACGGGUGAGUAAUGUCUGGGACACCGCCUGAUGGAGGGGGAUAAACUCUGGAAACUGUCGCUAAUACCGCAUCAUAUCAGAUGUGCCCAGAUGGGUUUAGCUGGUUGGUGGGGUAACGGCUCACCAAGGCGACGAGCCCUAGCUGGUCUGAGAGGAUGACCAGCCACAAUGGAACUGAGACACGGUCCAGACUCCUACGGGAGGCAGCAGUGGGGAAUAUUGCACAAUGGGCGCAAGCCUGAUGCAGCCAUGCCGCGUGUAUGAAGAAGGCCUUCGGGUUGUAAAGUACUUUCAGCGGGGAGGCGUUACCCGCAGAAGAAGCACCGGCUAACUCCGUGCCAGCCGCCGCGGUAAUUC
rnacentral:rRNA from 1 species